rnacentral:rRNA from 1 species
ACGAACGCUGGCGGCUGCCUAAUACAUGCAAGUCGAACGGAGUGGCGAACGGGAGAGUAACGCGUGAGCAACCUGCCUAUGACAGUGGGAUAGCCUCGGGAAACCGGGAUUAAUACCGCAUAGUAAUAGAGGGGCUCGGGUCUGAUUAGCUAGUUGGUGAGAUAACAGCCUACCAAGGCGACGAUCAGCAGCCGGUCUGAGAGGAUGAACGGCCACUUUGGAACGGAGCAACGGGCCAAAAUCCUACGGGAGGCAGCAGUGGCGAAUAUUGCACAAUGGGGGAAACCCUGAUGCAGCGACGCCGCGUGACCAAAGAAGGUAUUCGUAUCGUAAAGUUCUGUCCUAUGGUAAGCAGUACCAUAGAAGAAAGCUCCGGCUAAAUACGUGCCAGCAGCCGCGGUAAUAC